AGGCAGGCGCGCUCCCUCUCCUCUCUCACCGCCAACCGGGCCCCGCGCGUCAGUCUCCCCUAUCCCACCUUCCUUCUUCUUCCCAGCCGAGUCGCGAGCAGGGGAAGCUUCCUUCCCGAGCCAAAACCGUAAUCCCGCGAUCCCUUGCCUUUUUCGAGGAAUCAAACCUCUAUAAAGUUCCUAAGCACCCCGAGGGACCCCUUUCGCACCCACGGAGUUCUAUCCGAGCCCUAGCCGUCGC
rnacentral:lncRNA from 1 species